UUCUCAACUUGGAGUCUCUCUGGUGAGUCUCUGCUCAAGUUCGGCUCAAGAGAUUCAAACAGAGCAGAGUAGUAUCUCAGAGCGUUUUUGAAUCGGUUUACGUACCCAAUCCGAUUCAAACACGCUUCAUACUCGCCUAAAGUAACAAUCUUCGGGUUCAACGAUUUAGCCAUCCUUAGAGCAGUCUCUACACCAACUGGAGUCUCGUCCAGUAAAUUAUACAACUGAAGCAUGAAA
rnacentral:misc_RNA from 1 species